GAUGAACGCUGGCGGCGUGCCUAACACAUGCAAGUCGAGCGAUCUUCUUCGGAAGAGAGCGGCGGACGGGUAAGUAACGCGUGGGUAACCUGCCCUGUACACACGGAUAACAUACCGAAAGGUACGCUAAUACGAGAUAAUAUGCUUUUGUCGCAUGGUAGAAGUAUCAAAGCUUUUGCGGUACAGGAUGGACCCGCGUCUGAUUAGCUAGUUGGUAAGGUAACGGCUUACCAAGGCUACGAUCAGUAGCCGACCUGAGAGGGUGAUCGGCCACAUUGGAACUGAGACACGGUCCAAACUCCUACGGGAGGCAGCAGUGGGGAAUAUUGCACAAUGGGCGAAAGCCUGAUGCAGCAACGCCGCGUGAGCGAUGAAGGCCUUCGGGUCGUAAAGCUCUGUCCUCAAGGAAGAUAAUGACGGUACUUGAGGAGGAAGCCCCGGCUAACUACGUGCCAGCCGCCGCGGUAA
rnacentral:rRNA from 1 species